UGUUUCGGCUAGGGGGCCAUCCCGGCUUACCAACCCGAUGCAAACUGCGAAUACCGGAGAAUGUUAUCACGGGAGACACACGGCGGGUGCUAACGUCCGUCGUGAAGAGGGAAACAACCCAGACCGCCAGCUAAGGUCCCAAAGUCAUGGUUAAGUGGGAAACGAUGUGGGAAGGCCCAGACAGCCAGGAUGUUGGCUUAGAAGCAGCCAUCAUUUAAAGAAAGCGUAAUAGCUCACUGGUCGAGUCGGCCUGCGCGGAAGAUGUAACGGGGCUAAACCAUGCACCGAAGCUGCGGCAGCGACACUUUAGUGUUGUUGGGUAGGGGAGCGUUCUGUAAGCCGUUGAAGGUGUCCUGUGAGGGGUGCUGGAGGUAUCAGAAGUGCGAAUGCUGACAUAAGUAACGAUAAAGCGGGUGAAAAGCCCGCUCGCCGGAAGACCAAGGGUUCCUGUCCAACGUUAAUCGGGGCAGGGUGAGUCGACCCCUAAGGCGAGGCCGAAAGGCGUAGUCGAUGGGAAACGGGUUAAUAUUCCCGUACUUGGUGUUACUGCGAAGGGGGGACGGAGAAGGCUAUGUUGGCCGGGCGACGGUAGUCCCGGUUUAAGCGUGUAGGCUGGUUUUCCAGGCAAAUCCGGAAAAUCAAGGCUGAGGCGUGAUGACGAGGCACCACGGUGCUGAAGCAACAAAUGCCCUGCUUCCAGGAAAAGCCUCUAAGCAUCAGGUAACAUCAAAUCGUACCCCAAACCGACACAGGUGGUCAGGUAGAGAAUACCAAGGCGCUUGAGAGAACUCGGGUGAAGGAACUAGGCAAAAUGGUGCCGUAACUUCGGGAGAAGGCACGCUGACACGUAGGUGAAGUGAUUUACUCACGGAGCUGAAGUCAGUCGAAGAUACCAGCUGGCUGCAACUGUUUAUUAAAAACACAGCACUGUGCAAACACGAAAGUGGACGUAUACGGUGUGACGCCUGCCCGGUGCCGGAAGGUUAAUUGAUGGGGUCAGCGCAAGCGAAGCUCCUGAUCGAAGCCCCGGUAAACGGCGGCCGUAACUAUAACGGUCCUAAGGUAGCGAAAUUCCUUGUCGGGUAAGUUCCGACCUGCACGAAUGGCGUAAUGAUGGCCAGGCUGUCUCCACCCGAGACUCAGUGAAAUUGAACUCGCUGUGAAGAUGCAGUGUACCCGCGGCAAGACGGAAAGACCCCGUGAACCUUUACUAUAGCUUGACACUGAACAUUGAGCCUUGAUGUGUAGGAUAGGUGGGAGGCUUUGAAGCGUGGACGCCAGUCUGCGUGGAGCCGACCUUGAAAUACCACCCUUUAAUGUUUGAUGUUCUAACGUGGACCCGUAAUCCGGGUUGCGGACAGUGUCUGGUGGGUAGUUUGACUGGGGCGGUCUCCUCCUAAAGAGUAACGGAGGAGCACGAAGGUUGGCUAAUCCUGGUCGGACAUCAGGAGGUUAGUGCAAUGGCAUAAGCCAGCUUGACUGCGAGCGUGACGGCGCGAGCAGGUGCGAAAGCAGGUCAUAGUGAUCCGGUGGUUCUGAAUGGAAGGGCCAUCGCUCAACGGAUAAAAGGUACUCCGGGGAUAACAGGCUGAUACCGCCCAAGAGUUCAUAUCGACGGCGGUGUUUGGCACCUCGAUGUCGGCUCAUCACAUCCUGGGGCUGAAGUAGGUCCCAAGGGUAUGGCUGUUCGCCAUUUAAAGUGGUACGCGAGCUGGGUUUAGAACGUCGUGAGACAGUUCGGUCCCUAUCUGCCGUGGGCGCUGGAAGACUGAGGGGGGCUGCUCCUAGUACGAGAGGACCGGAGUGGACGCAUCACUGGUGUUCGGGUUGUCAUGCCAAUGGCACUGCCCGGUAGCUAAAUGCGGAAAAGAUAAGUGCUGAAAGCAUCUAAGCAC
rnacentral:rRNA from 1 species